AAUAUUAUCUAGAAAAUAUUUACUUUUUUAAUCAUACUUAUUAUUAUUAUUAUUAUUAUUAUGAUUAUUAUUAUGAUUAUUAUUAUUAUUAUUAUAGUAAUAGUAAUAAUAAUACACUGAAAAAAAGUGUUUCAUUCAUCCAAUUAAAAAAAAUUGCAAAGUUAUUUAUUUUUCAUUGGCUCAAGUAAAAAAAAUAUAGAUGUGAAUUAUUACCCUAAUUUUUUUUUUUAAUUGGAUGAUUUAAAAACUUUUUUCAGUGUAGUUGUUGCCACUUUGUAUACUUUAUAAAAUGUCUCUUUUUCUGUAGUCCACCGUCACACCUCCUGGAGCCAGUCUGAAAAGCACUGCUCAACACUUGAAACUUAAUUGUCUAUCAUUGUGUUUUCAGUUGACUGAAAAACUGAGGUUUCCUUUCGUGUCGCCACCACAAUUGUAUGGAAUAGAACAGAAAGCAUUUGAUUAAAGGGCAUUCAGACCACAAAACUGGUUUUACCCAUCAGUCUGAAAGUGAAAAUAUACUUUAUUUAGGCCAGCUCAUCAUUAUUAUCUGCCACGGUUGAAGGCAGACACGCUUGAAUCUGAAGAGGAAGUAGCAGAAUGAGUGUUUAACAUCUCCGAGGUGAACAAUCAUCCCGAUGGGUGCUUUGGAUGUUUACAACCACUAUAAAUUUUACCAUUUUUUCUCUAUCUGCUUUGGCCUGGGCUGUGGACUGUUACUCUACAGGCCAUUUUACACCAUUGUGGUGCCGUCGAUUCUUGCUGUGUUCUUCACAGUAGUUUUUGAAUGUGUUGGUGCAUCCUUUGGUUUGCCAGCACACACUGUAAGAUGUAAGGGUCGACCUUACCACUGGAAAGAUGUUGUCUGGGGUUAUUGUAUGGCUUUCUUAGUGACCAUCCUUCACCUCAGGUCUUACCAUGUUUAUACUCUGUCUUGUGGCUUUGGCCUCAUUGUGUUUGCCAUAAGAGGAGCAAUUCGCAAAUAUAAUGCUCUGUGGAAAGCAAGGCAUUACUGUGAAUGAAGCAAAAUUAAUGCUCACAAAGAGGUCUCCACUUGUGCAUUCAUGCACAUUUAUCAAGUUUGUGUAGCGCUUUCCACAUACAUAUUGUUUCAAAGCAGUUUUAAAUCAAACCAAAUUGUCAUGUGAAUUUAAUGUGAUCUAAUUUCUGAUUUAAUUUUGUUUUACUAUUUGUUACUUUCUACAUUUCACUUUUUCAUAAAUUGUUUUGAUAAUUGAUUAUUUCAUUGAUUUUUUAAGUUGUAAAUAAAAAAUGUUUAUUAGAGGUUUACA
ensembl:lncRNA